AUUUUUUUGUAGUUCAUAAGCAUAAUGAUUGGGUAUUCAUAGUCAUAUGUGAGAUGUGCCAACCUCAAUCUCUAUGCUACAGUAUAUAAAGUAUACUAUA
rfam:Pan troglodytes isolate Yerkes chimp pedigree #C0471 (Clint) chromosome 18, whole genome shotgun sequence.